CUUCGGAGCGUCACUCCCAAACCCCUGUG
rnacentral:rRNA from 1 species